rnacentral:rRNA from 1 species
GACGAACGCUAGCGGCGGGCUUAACACAUGCAAGUCGACGACGCUACUGAGUAGCAAUGUUUAGUAUUGGAGUGGCGCAAGGGUGAGUAAUGUAUACGUAACCAACCCAUCGGAGACGGAUAACAUUUCUAAAGGGAUGCUAAAACUGCAUGAAGCCACGAUUUCGCAUUAAAUUGUGGGUGAAGAACCGUUAACAGGUUGCCUAUUGCUGGGCGUAUAUCCUAUUAGCUAGUUGGUAGUGUAAUGGACUACCAAGGCGACGAUCGGUAGCUGGUCUGAGAGGAUGAUCAGCCAACAUGGGAAUGAGAAAACGGACAGAAUCCUAAGGGAGGCAGCAGUGGGGAAUAUUGGGAAAUGCGCGCAAGGGUGAACCAGCAACGCCGGGUGGAGGAUGAACGCCGUAAGGGUGUAAAAUCUGACAAGCAGGGAAGAACGGAUAUGGUAAAAGGACAUAGAAUGACGGAACCUGCCUGAAGCCACGGGUAACCACGUG